UUACGCCAUUCUCCUGCCUCAGCUAAAUUUCUUUCUUUUUGCUAAAUCACUCAGAAUAAAAGUAAAACCUGGUUUAAAAUGAGAUCUACAUCCACUGGAAUAAGAGAGCCCUUAUAUUUUUAAAGGGGAAAAAAAAACCUCACAGCUUUUCAUAUUAAAUAGCAUUAGGGCAAAGAAAAAAAUAUGUUGAUUAUCAUUUCCAUGAUUCAAAUGCAAAUUUCUAAAUGUAAACAAUGUCUUACUUCUUUUUUGAUGAUCAGUGGGAAAUUAAAUUCUGAAACUGGAGCAGGGAAAGGCAUGUUUUUGUAUUCAUAGGAGACAGCAGUUUUUCCAGCAGAGAAGCAGAAGGCAACAACUGCAACGAAGGUGCCACUACCAUAAUCAGGUUCAUUGUUUGUCGAGGGACAACUCAGUGAGAGUUUCAUUUGGGAAUGUGAAAUUACAGAACAAGGGAGAGACUGCGGCAGAAAGAGGAGGUGAAGCACAGAUUUGGGAACCACCUGCUUGUUGGUGAGAGAUGAAGCAUGCUAUUCUCCAAGGAGUGAAGACAUUGAGGACUAAACCUUCAGAAACUGAUGAUGAUCAAGGAAAAGAAAAGAUAGAUAAGAGAAGAAAUCAACAGAAGACCAGAUUUUUUUAUUAGUUCUGCUUCUGCUCUUAAUUUAGGAUGUACAUGAAAAUAAGUAUUUUUUAUUUGUCAUAUAAUACUUCUCUAAUAUGUUUCUAUUAGUGUCUUGAAUAAUCUAGUACAAUAGAACUACAUGAAAUAAUUACCUAGAAAAAGGUUGUGGUUAUUAUACUGCUUAAUAAACCUGGGUAGAAACUUGUGGAAUGUGCUAAAAGACAUACAUUUUUCUUAGCAUUACUUUGUAUAGAAUUAUGUUUUCGAUUGAGUUAAUUAGCUUUUACAAUUGGAAAGAGACUUGAAUUAAAUGUAUCUUUCAACACUUUUUAUAAAGCUAUAUAUUCAGGAAGUUCUCUAUAAUCUAUGGUAUGUAAGAAAAGCUCAUUUGCUUCUAUGUUAAUUUAGUGGUAUAAACUAUAAGCUGGGAGAUUUAAAAAGACUCAACUGAAUGAAUACACCAGGAUUUCUUUUAAAUGUACGUAAGUGCACAAUAAAUCUUGGCCAUUUAAA